UACGUAGGGUGCGAGCGUUUAUCGGAAUUACUGGGCGUAAAGCGUGCGCAGGCGGUUCGUCGUGUCCGAUGUGAAAGCCCCGGGCUCAACCUGGGAAUGGCAUUGGAAACUGGCGGACUCGAGUGUGGCAGAGGGGGGUGGAAUUCCGCGUGUAGCGGUGAAAUGCGUAGAGAUGCGGAGGAACACCGAUGGCGAAGGCAGCCCCCUGGGCUAACACUGACGCUCAGGCACGAAAGCGUGGGGAGCAAACAGG
rnacentral:rRNA from 1 species